AUGGGAGGAGGAGGACUCCCGUGGUGGCUGGUCACCACCGAGUGCACGCCGCCGCCGUCGUCGUCAGGCUCCCUCGCCGGCACCCUCGCCUUCAUCUUGCUCUCACCCUGCCCGCAGCGCGCGCUCCUCGGCGCCAUCGACCUCCUCUUCCUCCUCGCCUCGCUCGUCCUUGUCCUCGCCAGCCGCCGCGACUCCGGCCGCGCGGGGCCUGAGCACGAGGCGCUGCUGCCGGCGCCCACCGCGCCGUCGCGGCCCAUCACAUGCGGUUAUGCCGUCGCGCUCGGCGCGUCCGUGGUCUUCGCCGCGGCGUCCGCCGUCCUCCUCGCGAUCGCGGCCUUCCUCCUGCCGCCCGCGGCGUGGCUCUACGCGGAGUCCGCUUUCCUCGCCGCCCACUGCGCCGCGCACGCCGUGGCCGCGUGGACCGUGGUCGCCGCUUCGCGGAAGCCAGCCGCCGCAAACCCUCCGAUACACCUCCGCAUCUUCUGGAUCGCAACCGCCCUCUGCGCCGCACUGUUCUCAGCCUCCGCGGCGAUCCGCUGCGCCGGCGGCUCUCCGCUCUUCCCCGACGACGUCCUCGCCUUCGUCGGUCUCCUCCUCUCGCUGCCGCCCGCGUACAUUACCGUCACCACCACCUGCACGGCGCGCGAUGAAGGGAACCAACAGGACCAAAACCCCAGCGCGGCGGCGGCGACGCCGUACGCCACCGCGUCGUUCCUCUCGCGCGCGACCUUCAGCUGGAUCAGCCCGCUGGUCUCCAAGGGGCACGCCAAUGGCUCCCUCGCCGCGACCGGGGACGUGCCCCCGGUGUCGCCGGCCCACAGCGCCGAGGCGACGUACGCUCUGCUCGCGUCCAACUGGCCGGACGCUGCGCGGAAGUGGCGGAGCCCGGUGGGCGUCGCGCUCUGCCUUUCCUUCUGGCCGCAGCUCCUACUCACCGCCGCGCUCGGCCUCGUCCAGCUCGCGGCCAUGUAUGUCGGCCCCUCGCUCAUCGACCGCUUCGUCGAGUUCAUCCGCCUCGGGGGCACGCCGUGGGAGGGUCUCCGGCUAGUCCUCAUUCUGCUCGUCGGCAAGGCGGUCCAGACGCUGGCGUCGCACCACUACAACUUCCAGGGCCAGCUCCUGUGCAUGCGCAUCCGCGGUGCGCUGCUCACGGCGCUGUACCGCAAAUCGCUGCGGCUGUCCGCCGGCGCGCGCAGGGUGCACGGCGCCGGCGGCAUCGUGAACUACAUGCAGGUGGACGCCUGGGUCGUAUCCGGCGCCAUGCACGGGCUGCACGACCUCUGGCUGAUGCCACUGCAGAUCGCGGUGGCGCUGCUCCUCCUGUAUGCGUACCUCGGCCCGGCCGUGCUCAUGACGCUCGUCGUGAUCGCCGCGGUCGCCGUGGUCACCGUGUUCGCCAACAAGCUCAACAUGGGCUACCAGUUCAAGUUCGUCGAGGUCCGCGACAGCCGCGUCAAGGCCCUGACAGAGAUGCUCAACCACAUGCGCGUGAUCAAGCUGCAGGCGUGGGAGCAUACAUUCGGCGACAAGGUUCGGGAGUUCCGGCGGGCCGAGGUCGGGUGGCUGAAGAAGAUGAUAUUCUUCGAGUGCGGCAGCACCGUGGUGUACUCCAGCGGGCCCGUCGCCAUGGCCGCGCUCGUCUUCGGGACAUACCUCGCCGCGAGAGGGGAGCUGGACGCCGGCAAGGUGUUCACGGCCACCGCCUUCUUCCGCAUGCUCGUUGGGCCCAUGAGCAGCUUCCCGCAGACGAUCGCCAUGUCCGUGCAGGCGUUCGUGUCGCUCGGCAGGCUGGACAAGUUCCUGUCGGACGCCGAGGUUGACAGCGCGGCGGUUGAGCGUCUUGGCAACAGCGGCUCCGGGGAUGAGGUGGCCGUGAAGGUGCAAGACGGAGUGUUUGCAUGGGACGUCGAGGGCGGUGAGGGCGAGGAGAAGGAUGUCGGAGGGGAAGAGCCGGUGCUGAAAGGGAUCGAGAUGGAGGUGAGGAAGGGCGAGCUCGCGGCGGUGGUCGGCACCGUCGGCUCCGGCAAAUCGUCGCUGCUGUCGUGCAUCAUGGGAGAAAUGCACAAGUUGUCCGGCAAGGUUAGCGUAUGUGGGAGCACAGCAUGUGUCAGUCAGACAGCUUGGAUCAGAAAUGGAACCAUUCAGGAGAACAUCUUAUUUGGACAGCCAAUGCAUCGAGAAAAGUACAGGGAAAUCAUACAUGCUUGUUGCCUAGAAAAAGAUCUAGAAAUGAUGGAGUUCGGCGACCAGACUGAAAUCGGAGAGCGUGGGAUCAACCUCAGUGGCGGCCAGAAACAGCGCAUCCAGCUGGCUAGAGCAGUCUACCAAGAUUGUGAUGUAUAUCUUCUUGAUGACAUAUUCAGUGCAGUCGAUGCUCAUACUGGCUCAGCUAUCUUCAAGGAAUGUCUUAAGGGAAUACUGAAGAGCAAGACUGUUUUGCUUGUUACUCACCAAGUGGAUUUCUUACAAAAUGUGGAUACUAUAUUUGUAAUGAAAAAUGGUGGGAUUAUUCAGUCAGGGAACUACGGUCACUUACUAGAUUCAUGUCCAGAAUUUUUAGCACUUGUGGCUGCUCACCACAGUUCUAUGGAAGCAUCUGGGGUGCAAGGUCACAAUGUUCAGAACACUGAGAAUUGCCGAGCCGCCACGGUAUCACAAGAGACCCCUUCUGUUAACUCCAACUCCAGUAGCGAAAACAGCGAUGCAAAUGCCGUUGCGCCGAGCAAAGAAGCAGGUUCGUCCAAGCUGAUCCAGGAAGAGGAGAAGGAGAGUGGACGAGUAAGCUGGCAUGUGUACAAGCUAUACGUCACACAGGCUUGGGGCUGGUGGGGAGUUCUGCUCAUUCUAGCUUUGUCUGUGCUGUCAGAGGGCUCCACAAUGGCAAGUAACUACUGGAUGUCAUAUGAAACAUCAGGGGGCACCAUAUUUGAUAUCUCAAAGUUUCUUGGCGUCUAUGUUUCGAUAGUCGUUGUUUCGAUUGUGUUUGAAUUUAUCGCCGUUCUUUUCCAAGCAUUUUUGGGGCUUAAGUCAGCCCAGGCCUUUUUCAGCAAGAUGUUGGACAGCAUUCUGCGAGCUCCGAUGUCAUUUUUCGACACCACUCCUUCGGGCAGGAUCCUAAGCCGGGCAUCAGAGGACCAGACUAAAAUAGACGUUUACCUUUUAUUCUUUACGGGUGCCGGCAUAUCGAUGUGCAUUUCGGUGGCUAGCAGCAUUGCCGUUACCUGUCAAGUAGCAUGGCCAUCAGUCAUAGCAGUGCUUCCCCUACUGCUUCUUAACAUUUGGUACCGGAAUCGUUAUAUUGCAACAUCCCGAGAGCUAACUCGCCUUCAAGGAGUAACAAAGGCACCGGUUAUUGAUCACCUCACCGAGUCCUUUUCGGGCUCUCCAAUUAUAAGGUGCUUCGGGAAAGAGGAUGAAUUUUGCCAAAAAAGCUUGGACAUGAUUGAUUCGAAUUUGCGCAUGUCUUUCCAUAAUUAUGCAGCAAGUAGGUGGUUUGGGUUUCGCCUGGAGCUAAUCGGCACACUUGUGUUGUCUAUAACUGCUUUUCUGAUGAUCAGUUUGCCUACCCAUUUCAUCAAGAAAGAAUUUGUCGGCAUGUCUCUGUCCUACGGUCUUUCUCUCAACUCCUUGGUGUACCAUGCAAUUUCCAUAAGCUGUAUGAUAGAAAAUGAUAUGGUCUCUGUGGAGAGGGUGAAUCAGUACAGUAGCCUUCCUUCUGAGGCAGCAGGGGCAUUGGCAGAUUGUCUGCGUCCCUCGCGAAAUUGGCUCCGACGGGGAGACAUUGAAAUAAAGGAUCUAGAGGUCAGAUAUAGACCAAACACACCUCUAAUCUUGAAAGGCAUUACGAUAAGCAUCCGCAGCGGAGAGAAGAUUGGCGUUGUGGGAAGGACCGGCAGUGGCAAGUCAACUUUGAUCCAGGCGUUGUUCAGGCUUGUGGAGCCAGUGAAAGGCCAGAUCAUCGUCGACGGAGUCGACAUUUGCACUCUGGGCCUUCAUGACCUGAGGUCUCGCUUCGGUGUCAUUCCUCAGGAGCCUGCGCUCUUCGAAGGAACCGUGAGAAGCAACAUUGACCCAAUUGGGCAGUACUCCGAGGCUGAGAUAUGGCAGGCCCUUGAGCGUUGCCAGCUGAAAGACACAGUAGCUGCAAAGCCUGAGAAGCUUGAUGCACAAGUUGCGGACAUGGGUGAGAACUGGAGCGUGGGGCAACGCCAGCUCCUGUGCUUGGGCCGUGUCAUACUGAAGCGCAGCCGGGUGCUGUUCAUGGACGAGGCCACCGCCUCCGUCGACUCCCAGACCGACGCGGCCAUCCAGAGGAUCAUCCGGGAGGAGUUCCGGGAGUGCACUGUCAUCAGCAUUGCUCAUCGUGUCCCGACGGUCAUGGACAGCGACAGAGUUCUGGUGCUGGAUGCCGGUUUAGUCAAAGAAUUUGAUACUCCAUCCAAGCUGAUGGGAAGGCCAUCAGUUUUCGGGGCGAUGGUUCAGGAGUACUCAAGCCGCUCGUCACAGGCAACCUAG
rnacentral:rRNA from 1 species